rnacentral:lncRNA from 1 species
GUUUAGGAACAUUUCUAGUGACCGGCAGAUGUGGCACAGCCACAUCAGCAUGAGAGAGAGUGGAAAAAAGUCAAUUACCCAGAACAGGGGAAGCCUUUUUUCACUUUGCCAAACAGCUAUGUAUCUCUAGCAUCAAUAUUAUCUUCCUUCCUCUCUCAUGCCAGACGCCAAAUUGAACUCCAACAUCACUGAACAAGAACUUCUGCUUAGCUGAACAAGAACUCCUGCUUCGCUGAACAAGUUUUCUCCAAAAAUAACACUCUUCCCAUUUCGUAUCCUCCUCCUACUACUCUCAUACUGUUAAAUUCCCAAAACCCUAAAAUUUGUGCAAACUCUUAUUUUGGGUAAAUUUUUUAUGCAAACUCUUUGAGAAUUGUAAAGGAAGGGAUUACUUAAUUGGGAGAGGAAGGUAGAUGUCUUAAUUUGGUUCAGCUGUACAAUUAAUUUGAUCUAUCUACUUCCAUUGUUUCAGAAAAUAGAAAAGCACUCAUUUAUGUUUUC